rnacentral:rRNA from 1 species
GUGGGGAAUAUUGGACAAUGGGCGAAAGCCUGAUCCAGCCAUGCCGCGUGUGUGAAGAAGGUCUUCGGAUUGUAAAGCACUUUAAGUUGGGAGGAAGGGCAUUAACCUAAUACGUUAGUGUUUUGACGUUACCGACAGAAUAAGCACCGGCUAACUUCGUGCCAGCAGCCGCGGUAAUACGAAGGGUGCAAGCGUUAAUCGGAAUUACUGGGCGUAAAGCGCGCGUAGGUGGUUCGUUAAGUUGGAUGUGAAAGCCCCGGGCUCAACCUGGGAACUGCAUCCAAAACUGGCGAGCUAGAGUACGGUAGAGGGUGGUGGAAUUUCCUGUGUAGCGGUGAAAUGCGUAGAUAUAGGAAGGAACACCAGUGGCGAAGGCGACUACCUGGACUGAUACUGACACUGAGGUGCGAAAGCGUGGGGAGCAAACAGGAUUAGAAACCCGAGUAGUCC